UCAACAGCAAGAAUCUGAUAGUUUGCACGCAUCUUAUAGCGGAGGACCCUCGCAUCGCAUCCCUUGGCGAUCAGUUGGGAGCCGAGGAAUUACGUGACGCGGCCGCAAGCCCCACUCCUGACAACAACGGUGAUCGGGCCCGGUCGUUUAGCCAAUCUAACGGAGGGUACCAAUAUGUGGCGAUAUUGGAAACGUAAUGAACUAAAUCUUUAUGAUUUAGAUGAUCAAGAUCAUACGUAUAUAUGACCGCCUCGGUAACAACUCUCAUACGGUGGAGGACCGUCGAAUCGUGUCCCUCUGUUCGGAAUAAAGCGCCGCACUGAGAAGCUGGGACGGUGGUCGGGCCCGGUCGGUGAUCGACGUCCAUCGGUAAAUCUACUAUAGCUACGAUCGUCGCUCAGUUCCGCACUUGGAUAGGAAGGUGACGACCCCAAGUCGGUUUUCUGGUUUCGAUCGGAACUCGAAUCACCCCAAGGUCUGAGUAUAAUACAAAACCAUGGAAGGAGCACAGAUUCCUCUGAGGGUAUGGCAACAAGCAGCAGUUGCUCUUGCUUCAGCUCUUGGCACCCUGAUGUGAUCGAAUUUGAGCAAAUGUUUCUUCCUAUGUAUGCACUGUCAGUUGUUGGAGGUUCAGCAAGGUUUACCGAAAAGCAAAGGGCCCUCUUCUUCCGGCAUUACUUUCCUUGGGCUAUUAGGGCGGGUAUGGCGAACACAAAUCUAAGGUGUGUGUACUACGAGAAGCAUUUCACAAGGACCUGGAGGAUGUGCGGAAGAAAUGGGGUAAAAUUCCUUGCCCUGAUCCUAAAGGGAAUAGCUGAAUUUGUAUUCGAUUUUUUUCCUUGGUGCUCAAGAUUUACUUUGCUUCCCUGUCCAUGAACCACCUAUAAAAAUUAUAAAAAAUAAAAUAAAAAGGAUUUCUUGAAAUGGAAAUUUUCUUAUUGAGAUGUUUGUCAUUGUGUUGCACAUGUAAA